CCUGCAGUGAUGUUAACACCCUCCCUCAAGGACUCAUUAAGGGCGUGAGCAUACAAAAGAAUGGCAUCAUGCAAAAUAUGUUGAUGAGCAAUAUAGACAAAAACGAGUUGAACCUGCUUGCUGACUCCCAUUGAUGCAAGACCUGAUCCCUAAUUGACCAGUUGAAAACAUGGAAUAAAACUCAGUUUACCCCUAGGUCACAAGACUUACCACGUGCCUUGGUUGCCAUAGACCUGACCAUUGAUUUUAAUUUGUAAAG